rnacentral:tRNA from 2 species
GGGGCCGUGGGGUAGCCUGGCAUCCUACCAGCUUCGGGAGCUGGUGACCUGAGUCCGAAUCUCAGCGGCCCCA